CCCUUAGAUGUUCUGGGCUGCACGCGUGCUACACUGAUAUUGCCAAUAUGUCAUUCUUAUCCGAAAUGGACUGGGUAAUCAAGUAAUGAAAUUUCAUGCUUGGAAUCGGUAAUUGCAAUUUUAUCGUGAACGAGGAAUUCCUAGUAAGCACUAGUCAUCAGCUAAUGUUGAUUAUGUCCCUGCCCUUUGUACACACCGCCCGUCGCUACUACUGAUUGGGUGUUCAAGUGAGAUGCUUAGACCCUUGUUGCAUGGUUCAUUAUUGUGCUCCGAAAGGAAAAAGUUUCAAGCUUGAGUGUCUAGAGGAAGUAAAAGUCGUAACA
rnacentral:rRNA from 1 species